rnacentral:rRNA from 1 species
GACGAACGCUGGCGGCGUGCUUAACACAUGCAAGUCGUACGGUAAGGCCCUCUUGGGGGUACACGAGUGGCGAACGGGUGAGUAACACGUGAGUAACCUGCCCACAACUCUGGGAUAACGCCAAGAAACUGGUGCUAAUACUGGAUAUGUGCUCCUGCUGCAUGGUGGGGGUUGGGAAGCUUUGUGGGUUGUGGAUGGAGUCGCGGCCCGUGAGCCUGGUUGUGGGGGAAGUGCCUACCCAGGGGGACGACGGGUAGCCGGCAGGGAGGGGGGACCGGCCACACGGGGACUGAGAAACGGCCGAGACUCCUACGGGGGGCAGCAGUGGGGAAUAUUGCGCAAUGGGCGAAAGCCUGACGCAGCGACGCCGCGGGGGGGAUGACGGCCUUCGGGUUGUAAACCUCUUUCAGCAGGGACGAAGAGAAAGUGACGGUACCUGCAGAAGAAGCACCGGCAAACUACGUG